rnacentral:lncRNA from 10 species
GUUCACUUAUUUUUAACACUCUGCAGCAGCAGCAACAGCAGCUCUCCCAGUUUACACCACAACAACCUCAGCAGCCCACAACUUGUAGUCCUCAACAGCCAGGGGAGCAGGGUUCUGAGCAAGGUUCAACCAGUCAAGAACAGGCCUUAUCUGCUCAGCAAGCUGCUGUUAUUAACCUUACUGGAGUAGGAAGUUUUAUGCAGUCACAGGCAGCUGUGUUGUCUCAGCUUGGCUCUGCCGAGAACAGACCUGAGCAAAGCCUUCCUCAGCAGAGAUUCCAGCUCUCCUCUGCCUUUCAACAGCAGCAGCAACAGAUACAACAGUUGCGAUUCUUGCAGCAUCAAAUGGCUAUGGCAGCAGCAGCAGCACAAACAGCUCAGCUACAUCAUCAUCGGCAUACAGGCAGCCAGUCAAAAAGUAAAAUGAAGAGAGGCACGCCAACCACUCCAAAAUUUUGAGUCUUGCAUUACUUUUUGUUCCUUUUUUAAAAACACAAGAGCACUGAAUCAAAAGAAUUGAGUUUCUACUUUUUGUUUUUUUUAAUGUGUCAGUAUUUUACAUUGCUAGAUGUACAAACUUUAUACAGAAGCACAACCUUAUCAUUUUUAAAUAAAAACAGGGAAAUGGUUUAACAAACUAGGGUUGGUUUGCCUAAGUCAUUGCUUUUUAAAAAUGGUUUCACUAUACAUAAUAUAUAUGGAAGUGACCUAAGAAAUAAUAGAAACAUCUUUCAGAAGAAUGUAGUUUGAUAUUUAUUUAGUAUAAAACGUUUGUGCACAGUGUUAACAAAUACAAUUUUUACAAAUCUGUUUUGA